GAUGCACGAAGGCAAAGGUCUGUGUGUCCAGAAAUCUACGAGGGCUCAAACAGCGGAGGAGAGAGAAAGAGUCAGAACCAAAGAGGUUUCCAGGA
rnacentral:lncRNA from 1 species